rnacentral:rRNA from 1 species
UAGUCCACGCCGUAAACGAUGAGUGUUAGAUGUCCGAGGUAAACUUGGGUGUCGGAAGCCAACGCGAUAAACACUCCGCCUGGGGAGUACGCACGCAAGUGUGAAACUCAAAGGAAUUGACGGGGACCCGCACAAGCAGCGGAGCAUGUGGUUUAAUUCGACGCAACGCGAAGAACCUUACCAAGUCUUGACAUAUUUCGGAGGGAUUUAGAGAUAAGUUCCGAGGACUUCGGUCCACUGAAAAAC